GCAAGUCGAACGAGGUGCUUUUGUAGCAAUACGAAGGUGUCCUAGUGGCGAACGGGUGAGUAACGCGUUGGUGACCUACCCCAAAGUGUGGGAUAACAGUUCGAAAGAACUGCUAAUACCGCAUGUGGUUAUCGGGUUUAGAAACUGAUAACUAAAGGAGCAAUUCGCUUUGGGAGGGACCUGCGUCCCAUCAGCUAGUUGGUGAGGUAACGGCUCACCAAGGCGACGACGGGUAGGGGACCUGAGAGGGUGGCCCCCCACAAUGGAACUGAAACACGGUCCAUACACCUACGGGUGGCAGCAGUAGGGAAUAUUGCACAAUGGGCGAAAGCCUGAUGCAGCAACGCCGCGUGUGCGAUGAAGGCCUUCGGGUCGUAAAGCACUUUUCUGAGAGAUGAGAAAGGACAGUAUCUCAGGAAUAAGUCUCGGCUAACUACGUGCCAGCAGCCGCGGUAAAACGUAGGAGGCGAGCGUUAUCCGGAUUCACUGGGCGUAAAGCGCGUGCAGGCGGUUCGGUAAGUUGGGUAUGAAAUCUCCUGGCUUAACUAGGAGAGGUUAUCCAAUACUACCGGACUUGAGAGUGGUAGAGGAAGAUGGAAUUCCAGGUGUAGUGGUGAAAUGCGUAGAUAUCUGGAGGAACACCAGUGGCGAAAGCGAUCUUCUGGACCAUUUCUGACGCUCAGACGCGAAAGCUAGGGUAGUAAACGGGAUUAGAGACCCCGGUAAUCCUAGCCGUAAACGAUGUAAACUUGGCGUUGGUGGCUUAAACUCCAUCAGUGCCGCAGCAAACGCGAUAAGUUUACCGCC
rnacentral:rRNA from 1 species